UACGUAGGCAGCAAGCGUUGUUCGGAAUUACUGGGCGUAAAGAGUGUGUAGGCGGUGCUCCAAGUCUGGUGUGAAAUCUCCCGGCUUAACUGGGAGGGUGCAUUAGAAACUGGAAUGCUAGAGGAUGGGAGAGGUACACGGAAUUCCGGGUGGAGUGGUGAAAUGCGUAGAGAUCCGGAGGAACACCGAAGGCGAAGGCAGUGUCCUGGCGCGUAACUGACGCUGAGGUGCGAAAGCCAGGGGAGCGAACGGG
rnacentral:rRNA from 1 species